CAGAAUUGUCCCAUGUUUCUGUUUGGGCACCACUGAGGAAGGAAGCAUGAAGGACGCAGAGCCAUUUUGCAGACCCUGGUCAGAAUGAAACAUUCCUUGGGAACUCGGGCCAUGAGAAGCAUCCUUCCUGACCACCUGACUGCGGAAACAUCCUUAUCGCAUCCUCCCGGGCGAAGGCCCAACAGCCUGACUGCAGGAACAUCCUUGCCAUAUCCUGCCGGGCAGCAAGCUCUACCGCCCAGACCCCUCCUUCCCAGUCCCAUGAUCGCCCCAGCCUGUGAGCGGC
rnacentral:lncRNA from 1 species